GACGAACGCUGGCGGUGUGCUUAACACAUGCAAGUCGAACGGAAAGGCCCUGCUUUUGUGGGGUGCUCGAGUGGCGAACGGGUGAGUAACACGUGAGUAACCUGCCCUUGACUUUGGGAUAACUUCAGGAAACUGGGGCUAAUACCGGAUAGGAGCUCCUGCUGCAUGGUGGGGGGUGGAAAGUUUCGGCGGGUGGGGAUGGACUCGCGGCUUAUCAGCUUGUUGGUGGGGUAGUGGCUUACCAAGGCUUUGACGGGUAGCCGGCAUGAGAGGGUGACCGGCCACAUUGGGACUGAGAUACGGCCCAGACUCCAACGGGAGGCAGCAGUGGGGAAUAUUGCACAAUGGGCGGAAGCCUGAUGCAGCAACGCCGCGUGCGGGAUGACGGCCUUCGGGUUGUAAACCGCUUUCGCCUGUGACGAAGCGUGAGUGACGGUAAUGGGUAAAGAAGCACCGGCUAACUACGUG
rnacentral:rRNA from 1 species